GAAUUGCAGAAUUCAGUGAAUCAUUGAAUCUUUGAACGCAUCUUGCACCUUUUGGUAUUCCAAAAGGUACACCUGUUUGAGUGUCAU
rnacentral:rRNA from 1 species